UAAAAUUUGUUUUUAAUGUUUUUAAAGAUAAUCUUUUAUUUAAAAAUUAAUAUUUAAUAAAUAUUAUUUUCGAAAUUAAAAAAGUAGCAGAUAUUAUUAUUAUUAUUGAUUAUAAUUUUUUUAAAAAAUUAAUUUCGAAUCUUCAAAGUUUAGUGCAAAAAUAUUAAAAGUAUAACUUUAUUAUUUUUUGUUUAUUGUAAAAAAAAAUUAUAGUUUUUAGUUUUAU
rnacentral:tRNA from 1 species